rnacentral:rRNA from 1 species
GAUGAACGCUAGCGGCAGGCUUAACACAUGCAAGUCGAGGGGUAUAGGCUUUCGGGCCUAGAGACCGGCGCACGGGUGCGUAACGCGUAUGCAAUCUGCCUUACACUAAGGGAUAGCCCAGAGAAAUUUGGAUUAAUACCUUAUAGUAUAUUGAUGUGGCAUCACAUUAUUAUUAAAGAUUUAUCGGUGUAAGAUGAGCAUGCGUCCCAUUAGCUAGUUGGUGUGGUAACGGCAUACCAAGGCGAUGAUGGGUAGGGGUCCUGAGAGGGAGAUCCCCCACACUGGUACUGAGACACGGACCAGACUCCUACGGGAGGCAGCAGUGAGGAAUAUUGGACAAUGGGCGCAAGCCUGAUCCAGCCAUGCCGCGUGCAGGAUGACGGUCCUAUGGAUUGUAAACUGCUUUUGUACGGGAAGAAACACUCCAACGUGUUGGAGCUUGACGGUACCGUAAGAAUAAGGAUCGGCUAACUCCGUGCCAGCAGCCGCGGUAAUACGGAGGAUCCAAGCGUUAUCCGGAAUCAUUGGGUUUAAAGGGUCCGUAGGCGGUUUUGUAAGUCAGUGGUGAAAUCCGGCAGCUCAACUGUCGCACUGCCAUUGAUACUGCAGGACUUGAAUUAUUGUGAAGUAACUAGAAUAUGUAGUGUAGCGGUGAAAUGCUUAGAUAUUACAUGGAAUACCCAUUGCGAAGGCAGGUUACUAACAAUAUAUUGACGCUGAUGGACGAAAGCGUGGGGAGCGAACAGGAUUAGAUACCCUGGUAGUCCACGCCGUAAACGAUGGAUACUAGCUGUUUGGAAGCAAUUCUGAGUGGCUAAGCGAAAGUGAUAAGUAUCCCACCUGGGGAGUACGAACGCAAGUUUGAAACUCAAAGGAAUUGACGGGGGCCCGCACAAGCGGUGGAGCAUGUGGUUUAAUUCGAUGAUACGCGAGGAACCUUACCAGGGCUUAAAUGUAGGUUGACAGGCUUGGAAACAGGUUUUUCUUCGGACAACUUACAAGGUGCUGCAUGGUUGUCGUCAGCUCGUGCCGUGAGGUGUCAGGUUAAGUCCUAUAACGAGCGCAACCCCUGUCGUUAGUUGCCAUCGAGUCAUGUCGGGAACUCUAACGGGACUGCCGGUGCAAACCGUGAGGAAGGUGGGGAUGACGUCAAAUCAUCACGGCCCUUACGUCCUGGGCUACACACGUGCUACAAUGGCCGGUACAGAGAGCAGCCACUGGGCGACCAGGAGCGAAUCUAUAAAACCGGUCACAGUUCGGAUCGGAGUCUGCAACCCGACUCCGUGAAGCUGGAAUCGCUAGUAAUCGGAUAUCAGCCAUGAUCCGGUGAAUACGUUCCCGGGCCU